CUUCAAUCGAGAUUUUUUUUUCAAGAAAAAAAAAUCAGGAAUCUAAUAAUUUGAUAAAAAAGAACCGUUUCAAGUAAAAGAUGAAUGUUGUACAUUAAAACUUUUUAAAAUGCAACUUCGUAAAAAAUUAGUGUAUUAAAGAAAUAUUUUAGUGGUAAGUAGGAUAACGUUUGAUUUUUAUGGAUGAAACGGAAAGCGGGGAGGGGGGAGGGGGGCUAAUUCAUUUUAAAAAUAACAGGCUGUGAUCUUUUUUUUUUAUGAAAAAAUGCAGGAUGUGCCAUUCCAUCCCCCAUCCCCCCCUUAAACAUGUUAAAAAAAAUUGUAAAAAUCGCGCGUUUGUUGCCAAAUAUAUGAAUUUAAUAUUCAGUGGUGGGGGUCCCGGGGUUGGAACACCCCUUUUUUGCAUGAUCAAUGCAUUUAAAUGGAGACAUAAAGUUGGCCCCCUUCCCCCUGUUUUGUCCUGGAUUUGGACCUGGAUUCGCCACUGAUAUAAAUUCGGUAUCAAAAGAAUGAAUUUCCUUCUUAAUUAGUGAAUGAAAUGUUUAUGAAAAAAUGGAUUUUGUCUUAUUAUUAUAUUCAGGCAUAUACAAUGUACUUCAAUUUUUUUUUAAAUUCAUGCUCGUCUCUAGAUCUGCAAGUGUUGAUCGGUAAUAAACACGUG
rnacentral:lncRNA from 1 species